GGAGCGGAGUGGGGCGCCUGAGACAUUUUGUGGCGGUUCGGCGGUCAAGAUCCCUCGGAGUUAGAGGGACUUAAAGACGGACAGUUCCUAGAGAAAGGUUGUUCUUAGUCGCAAGAUCCCUUUGCUAAAAUAAAGAGAUUCAUCCAAGCUGAGGUCUGAAAGAGGAAGCAUGAGGGCUACGGGCUGCCUCAAUGUCCAAGGUGCGGCCUGUCCGGGAUGCGGGAAUGAGAACUCGGGACAUGGGGAAGCGGAGGAGCGGGAGUGGAAACGUCUGAGCCAGAAAGCACGUGGGGGACAGAGGAGGCGCCUGGACUGGGGAGUGGAGGCCUGAUUCCUGAUUCGCCAAGCUACUGGUCCCCCUCUGAGGAACCUGGACACUGGAGCAUCUCAGCGAUUCCUUCUAGAUGCCGAGGCCUGGGUUUUUUGGUUUUGGUUUUUUUUUUUUGAAGGUAGACACGUGGUGUUUUGUUUUGUUUUGUUUUGGUGGUGGGGAGGGAGUAGUAUUUCCUGUGAUAUUUGAGACAGUUUUUGCAGGGCUAGGAAGUAGGCGCUCAGUUGGUGUUACUCACUAAAUUGUAAGGUUGAUGAAAGCAAAAAUUAGAGCUACAGGGUCUAUCAGAAUCUCACUGUCUGCAAGCCACCUCACUAUUUACCCUUCUUGCUUCCAGAAACGCUUUUCCAACUAAACGUUAUCUUGUGCUUCUGCAUUUACUCAACCCUCAUUAAGACUCCUAACACUCGGUGUAUUUUGUUUCCACAAAGUGAAGUAGGCCUCCAAUCAGUGGUAGGUUCUUUUUGCAUGGGCCGAAAUAAUAGAUGGUUGUCUCUGGAUGACACCAAAACUGUAAGUGGUGGCUAUGCUUAAAAACUUGCUAUGAGCAAUGUUAAAAGAAUACCUUGUUAAAAAAAAAAAAAGAGAGAGAGAAAAGGUUAAAUCAUGACUCUCCUACAAACAUAAACACAUACCGAAGAUUUAAGUUAACUCACUAAUUCCUGAGGAGGUGUGUAAGAUGAUGCUGGUGGUUCAAAGAUGAUCCAAAAGGCAGGCACAUGUGUAGGCGAUCAGGAAUGCUGGAAUGAAUUUGCUUAGUGGAGGCAAAACUGGCUUUUUCCACAGUGGGGAAGUCAGUUAAACUCUGAUACAGGAAAAAGAGUGGUGCGUGAAAGGAUGGCUGUGUUUCAGGUGUUGGUUGAGUCCCUGGGACGUGCCCCACUAAGUGAGAGUCCCUGGCUUUGCGCAGGAAAGAAUUCAAGAGCAAGCCAUAGUUGAGUAAAAGUAGAUAUAUUUAGCAGGGUGGGGGAGAGGUUAAAGAAUGGGUAGAUACACACUUCAUAAACGGAGUGCGGGCUGUCAGAAGGCAAGAGAGUAGGAGUGACUGUGAGGUGUGGUGUUGCUAGUAUUGUUUUGUUUUUGCAGAGGGACAGAGGGAAAACUGCUGUACUUCUUAAAAGAGGAAAAGGAAAAAAAGUGCUCCAGCGAGGAAAAGGUGCAGGAGUGGGAAGCUGUCAGCCAGGAUAGCCAGUAGAGACAGCUCCUGGUGUUGCUAUUUUUUAUAUGCUACUAAGUGAGAGAAUUACUCCAACUACUUUGGGGAAGGUGCCGGGAUUCCCAGGAAUUGGGCCACCACCCUCUCUUUGACCUUUCACCCUUAGCUUCAGAACUGCCAUGGCUCUUGUGGGUGUGUCAUUCACCAUGCUAGUACAUUACAAAGUGUGUAAUGUAGCUCAAGGUCCACUGGAGGUCGAAUCUCCCUCCAUCUUGGGCCUCAGGGUACAUUGGGAAUUGACUUUGCUGCCAUUUUGGUGCUAACUGCUUUGUCAUUCCUUUAGUGGCUAUGCCCUGCCCCCUUCCCUCCUGUCUCACUUCCACCAGACAAGAUUCAUUUGUAUGUCUGAUGGGUCAAUAUCACUUAUGAAUAUAGAUGCAAAAUCCUCAACAAAAUACUAGCCAGUCGACUCCAACAAUGCAUAAGAAGGAUCAUACACCAUGGUCAAGUGGGAUUUAUCCCAGGGAUGCAAGGAUUUUUCAAUAUCUGUAAAUCAGUCUGUGUGAUACACCACAUUAACAAACUGAGGAAUAAAAACCAUAUGAUCAUCUCAAUAGAUGCAGAAAAAGCCUUUGAUAAAAUUCAACAUCCAUUUAUGACAAAAACUCCCCAGAAAGUGGGCAUAGAGGGAACAUCUUGACACAAGAAAGGCCAUAUAUGACAAACCCACAGAGGGCAUGGAAACUUUGCACACUUUCCCCAUACUUUGCCUUAUGGUGUCUUCCAUUUGGCUGUUCCUGUGCCAUAUCCUUUCAUAAUAAACCAGUAAUCUAGUGAGUAAACUGGCUUCCAGAGUUCUGUAAUUUGCUCUAGGAAAUUAACGGAACCUGAGGAAGCAGUCUGGUAAACUCCAAACUAUUGCCUGUGUGUCAGAAGCUCAGGUGACAGCCUGGACUUGUGAUUGGUAUCUAAAGUAUGUGUUUGUUUGGUGGGAGUGGAAAGUCUUGUAGGGCUGAACCCUUAAACUAUGGAAUCAGAUACCAUCUUCAGGUAGAGAAGAUUGGAUUCUAGUUUCAUUCUUUUUCAUGUGGAUAUACAGUUCCUUGCCCUCUCCUAGCAAGUCACUCUCUGUGAAUCUCAUGUUCACCAACUUGGAAACUCUCCAAAUCCCUGUGCUCUUAGGGUUUUUAUGGAUGCUUCAGUACAAAGGCAUCGCUGAUUCAAUAACUGGCCAUUGGAGAUUGUUUCAACCUCCAGCCACUCUCCUCCCCUGAGGUCAGGGGUAUGGGACUGAAAGUUUCAACCCUCUAAUCACAUGUUUUCCUGGCAACCAGCCCCUAUCCUUAGGCUCAGUCCAAAAAGUCAAUUAACCUAACAAGAGAUACCUUUAACACUCUUACCACUUAGGAAAUGCCAAGGGCGUUGGGAGCUCUGUGCCAGAAACAGGGUCAAACCCAAAUAUGUGUUUUUUUAAUUAUAAAUCAUGAUAUCAUAGACCUGAAUAGGCAUUUCUCCAAAGAAGAUAUACAAAUGGCCAACAGGUACAUGAGAAAGUGCUCUAUAUUGCUAAUCAUCAGGGAAAUGCAAAUCAAAACUACAAUGAGAUAUCAUCACCUCACAUCUGUUAGAAUGGCUAUUGUGAAAAAGACGAGAUGAGCACUGAUAAGGACAAGGGAAAAAGGGAACUUCUGCACGCUGUGGAUGGGAAUGUAAUUGGUACAGCCACUAUGGAAAACAGUAUGGAGGUUCCACAAAAAUUUAAAAAUAGAACUACCAUAUGAUCUAGUAAUCCCACUUACAUGUAUACAUAAAAGGAAAUGAAAUCAGGAUCUUGAAGAUGUAUCUGCACUGACAUGUUCACUGCAGCAUUAUUCACAAUAGCCAAGAUAUGGAAGCAACCUGAGUGUGUAAGAUGAAUGGAUAAAAACGUGGCAUAUAUAUACACAAUGGAU